AAUAAACGCUGGCGGCGUGCCUAACACAUGCAAGUUGAGCGAGAAAGUCCUUUCGGGGACAAGUAAAGCGGCGAACGGGUGAGUAACGCGUAAGAAUCUACCAUUUAGUGGAGAGUACCCUCGAGAAAUCGAGGUUAAUACUGCAUACGUCCUUCGGGAGAAAGAUGGCCUCUUUGCUAUCGCUAAAUGAGGAGCUUGCGUACUAUUAGCUAGUUGGUAGGGUAAAGGCUCACCAAGGCGACGAUGGGUAGCUGGUCUGAGAGGACGAUCAGCCACACUGGGACUGAGACACGGCCCAGACUCCUACGGGAGGCAGCAGUGGGGAAUCUUGCGCAAUGCGCGAAAGCCUGAUGCAGCGACGCCGCGUGGAGGAUGAAGGUCUUAGGAUUGUAAACUCCUGUUAAGUGGGAAGAAAUACUCGUCCCUAAUAUGGAUGAGUGAUGACGGUACCAUUAGAGAAAGCACCGGCUAACUUCGUGCCAGCCGCCGCAGUAAUAC
rnacentral:rRNA from 1 species